rnacentral:rRNA from 1 species
UAACUUUUGGUGCUUGCACCGAAAGACGAGUGGCGAACGGGUGCGUAACGCGUAUGCAAUCUGCCUUUUACUAGGGUAUAGCCCAGAGAAAUUUGGAUUAAUCCCCUAUAACAUCAUUUUUCCGCAUGGUUAAAUGAUUAAAGCUUCGGCGGUAAAAGAUGAGCAUGCGUCCUAUUAGUUCGUAGGUGAGGUAACGGCUCACCUAGACUACGAUAGGUAGGGGCCCUGAGAGGGGGACCCCCCACACUGGUACUGAGACACGGACCAGACUCCUACGGGAGGCAGCAGUGAGGAAUAUUGGACAAUGGACGAAAGUCUGAUCCAGCUAUGCCGCGUGCAGGAUGACGGCCCUACGGGUUGUAAACUGCUUUUAUACAGGAAGAAACACCCCGACGUGUCGGGGCUUGACGGUACUGUAAGAAUAAGGAUCGGCUAACUCCGUGCCAGCAGCCGCGGUAAUACGGAGGAUUCGAGCGUUAUCCGGAAUCAUUGGGUUUAAAGGGUCCGUAGGCGGUUUUUUUAAGUCAGAGGUGAAGUCCUGCAGCUCAACUGUAGAAUUGCCUUUGAAACUGAAAGACUUGAGUUAUUGUGAAGUGGUUAGAAUGUGUGGUGUAGCGGUGAAAUGCAUAGAUAUCACACAGAAUACCAAUUGCGAAGGCAGAUCACUAACAAUAUACUGACGCUCAGGGGCGAAAGCGUGGGUAGCGAACAGGAUUAGAUACCCU